AGUGAACGCUGGCGGUAGGCCUAACACAUGCAAGUCGAACGGCAGCACAGGAGAGCUUGCUCUCUGGGUGGCGAGUGGCGGACGGGCGAGGAAUACAUCGGAAUCUACUCUGUCGUGGGGGAUAACGUAGGGAAACUUACGCUAAUACCGCAUACGACCUACGGGUGAAAGCAGGGGACCUUCGGGCCUUGCGCGAUUGCAUGAGCCGAUGUCUGAUUAGCUAGUUGGCGGGGUAAAGGCCCACCAAGGCGACGAUCCGUAGCUGGUCUGAGAGGAUGAUCAGCCACACUGGAACUGAGACACGGUCCAGACUCCUACGGGAGGCAGCAGUGGGGAAUAUUGGACAAUGGGCGCAAGCCUGAUCCAGCCAUACCGCGUGGGUGAAGAAGGCCUUCGGGUUGUAAAGCCCUUUUGUUGGGAAAGAAAUCCAGCUGGCUAAUACCCGGUUGGGAUGACGGUACCCAAAGAAUAAGCACCGGCUAACUUCGUGCCAGCCGCCGCGGUAA
rnacentral:rRNA from 1 species